rnacentral:rRNA from 1 species
UCCCAUCUACGGGAGGCAGCAGUGGGGAAUAUUGGACAAUGGGGGGAACCCUGAUCCAGCGACGCCGCGUGAGUGAAGAAGUAUUUCGGUAUGUAAAGCUCUAUCAGCAGGGAAGAAAAUGACGGUACCUGACUAAGAAGCCCCGGCUAACUACGUGCCAGCAGCCGCGGUAAUACGUAGGGGGCAAGCGUUAUCCGGAUUUAUUGGGUUUAAAGGGUGCGUAGGCGGUCCGUUAAGUCAGCGGUAAAAUUGCGGGGCUCAACCCCGUCGAGCCGUUGAAACUGGCAGACUUGAGUUGGCGGGAG